rnacentral:rRNA from 1 species
UGGUGGCGCGAUUUGUCUGGUUAAUUCCGAUAACGAACGAGACUCUGGCCUAUUAAAUAGUUCGCCGAUUCCGAUCUGUCGGCGUUAACUUCUUAGAGGGACAAGUGGCUUUUAGCCACGCGAGAUUGAGCAAUAACA